rnacentral:rRNA from 1 species
AGCAAUCCACAAAAGAUUUCCUCCCGCGCGCGUAAUAACAGGGGGUAAGGUUUCAAUCGGGUUAUUCCCCCCCCGGGGGUCCGGGCCCCUUUUCCCCACUUACCCCCUCUGGACGGGUUCUUCUGACUUGCGCCUAAUCCGAGUAUUUUUCCCAAAACAAUGUGUAACGCCCGGUCGUUAAUAAAAACCAAAAUAAACCUUUCAAACACGGGAUCUCUGGGCUCUCGCAUCGAUGAAGAACGCAGCGAAUUGCGAUAAGUAAUGUGAAUUGCAGAAUUCAGUGAAUCAUCGAAUCUUUGAACGCAGCUUGCGCUCUCUGGUAUUCCGGAGAGCAUGCCUUCCUCCUUUGUAGGUAAAAACUCAACCACUAGGGUUUCCUAAUGGAUUGGAUUUGGGCGUCUGCGAUUUCUGAUCGCUCGCCUUAAAAGAGUUUUCAAGUUUGACAUUAAUGUCUGGUGUAAUAAGUUUCUCCGUUUCCAUUGUGUUGAAGCGUGCUUCUAAUCGUAACGCAAGGACAAUUACUUGACUCUGGCCUGAAAUCAGGUAAGGAACCGGG